AGAGUUUGAUCCUGGCUCAGGACGAACGCUGGCGGCGUGCUUAACACAUGCAAGUCGAACGGAAAGGCCCUUCGGGGUACUCGAGUGGCGAACGGGUGAGUAACACGUGGGUGAUCUGCCCUGCACUUUGGGAUAAGCCUGGGAAGCUGGGUCUAAUACCGAAUAUGACCAUGCACUUCCUGGUGUGUGGUGGAAAGCUUUUGCGGUGUGGGAUGGGCCCGCGGCCUAUCAGCUUGUUGGUGGGGUAAUGGCCUACCAAGGCGACGACGGGUAGCCGGCCUGAGAGGGUGACCGGCCACACUGGGACUGAGAUACGGCCCAGACUCCUACGGGAGGCAGCAGUGGGGAAUAUUGCACAAUGGGCGCAAGCCUGAUGCAGCGACGCCGCGUGAGGGAUGACGGCCUUCGGGUUGUAAACCUCUUUCAGCACAGACGAAGCGCAAGUGACGGUAUGUGCAGAAGAAGGACCGGCCAACUACGUGCCAGCAGCCGCGGUAAUACGUAGGGUCCGAGCGUUGUCCGGAAUUACUGGGCGUAAAGAGCUCGUAGGUGGUUUGUCGCGUUGUUCGUGAAAACUCACAGCUUAACUGUGGGCGUGCGGGCGAUACGGGCAGACUUGAGUACUGCAGGGGAGACUGGAAUUCCUGGUGUAGCGGUGGAAUGCGCAGAUAUCAGGAGGAACACCGGUGGCGAAGGCGGGUCUCUGGGCAGUAACUGACGCUGAGGAGCGAAAGCGUGGGGAGCGAACAGGAUUAGAUACCCUGGUAGUCC
rnacentral:rRNA from 1 species